AGGAUUCCUCAUGGGAUGACAAGGCCUUGCUGCAGGGAUGAUGUUUCCCACUAUAGGAGAACAGCUACUGUCUUUGAUGAACUGAGUCUACAGGGCUAUUGAAGGGUCUUGCUGUGCUGCCCAGCCUGGAGUGCGGUGGUGCAAUCACAGCUCACUGAAGCCUCCACUUACAACUCCUGGACUCAAGCAAUCCUCCCACCUGAGCCUCCUGAUUAGCUAGGACUAUAGGCACUUGGCACCACACCUGGCAAAUUUUUCUUAUCAUAGGAUCUCGCUACGUUGACCAGCCUGGUCUCAAACUUCUGGCCCCAAGUGAUUUUCCCACCUCUGCCUCCCAAAGUGCUGAGACUACAGUCUGGCCCUUCAUGAUCUCUAGAUAUUACCAGAAGUCCCAGAGAAAUGAGUGCAUGGAUGGCUUAAUGACAACCCACUUUCUUCUCUGGAAGAAAGAACUCAGUACAGCCCUACCAGAAGGUGGGAUGACAAUGCCAUCUUCAGACUUGAGUGUUGGGGAGGCCUUUUCUGCUAACCAACAGCAAAUGUUUUACAAGAGAAACAGGAAACAGAGUAGAUGAAGGCAGCCAUGGAAAAUCUGUAUGAAGUAUCCACUCUGUUGAUCUGUGCUUAAAAUACAGAAGGGAAAGUAAAGAAUCAAAAAUGUGUCCAUGAGCAUCCCACUGGGCUUGCGUCCAGAUUGAACAAUUUGAAUGCUAAGAGCAGGAUUUUGAUAGUAUGGCAGACAUUGCUCAUUGCCCAGCCAACCCAUUCUCCCCUUUGUCCUUACUAACAACAUCCUGAUUUUGUGUAGGCAACAAUGCUCCCAGCUAAAAUUACCUAGUUUACCAGACUCCUAUGCAGUUAGAGGUGGCCCAGUAACCCUGGCAAAUAAGAUGCAUGCAGGCAUUACCGGAUUGAGCUUCCAAAAAAAGCUUUUAAAAGGGGCAGGCUCAACUGCAUGACCCUUUGGGCUUUUGAACCCCUUUAUCUGGAAAUGAGACCUAAAGCUAAAAAUGAAAACAACUAUCUUGUUAUCAUGAGGUGACUAUCAUGAAGAUGAAAACCUCCACACCAAAUAGGUGGAAAGAAAAGUUGGAAAGAGGUGGAGAGAAUAAUUCCAUCUUUGAUGUAUCAGUGCUGCAUUGCCUCCCUCAAAAUGUCGCAAUUGUUUUAUGCAGCUGAGCAAAUUCGUGAUCUCCAACAGCAACUCAAGCAACUACAGGAAAGAAAAAAAAUUGACCACAGGAAGAGAUACCUAAGAUAAUCCUGGUGAUACUUUCGGUGCUACAAGAAAAAAAAUAAUCCUUGCACCCAAGAAGAAACAAUGAAACCUUAUUUUUCAUGUAAAUUUCUACUCCUGUUUUGUCCAAGCAUUUGAACUGUUGGAUAAGAUUUUUUUGAGUGCCGCUGAGAAAAGUAUUAUCAAUCUAGAAUGCACCAGAAAGAAAGCAGCAGAAAGAUUACAAACAGCUUUUCUAAACCCUUGUCCAGCGUUUACCAGAAAGAGCAGCACGAAUUAACAAAAGCAGAAAUUUUAGUUAAAAAAAAAAGCAACUCAACUCUGAUUCCUGAGACAUAUAACACAGGACGUCUAUCAACCCGUUUACCCUCAUCCAACUCAAAUGGCUACCAAACUCUAAAAUUAGCAGGGCAUGUCGGGAAGACAUCUUACUCCUUGUAUUACAGAUCUGUUGACUUGUCAGUAGCAUUUUCCUUUGCAAGUUAUAAAAUUUCCUUUCCCCAGUCUUCAAAUAGGCACUUCCCCCUCCCCAAAGUCUCUUUUGUCACCAACUGCCAUAACGCACCAAUCAGGGAAACAAAUUUCAGUUCAUAAAAGAAAACCAUGGGUGACCUACUGAGGACCACAGUUUCAUUUCCAUAACAGAGACUGAUAUACAAACCAUGCUCAAAGUCUAGAACAGCUAUAAAUAACUGUGGCUGAAUAGUCUAUUUUCUGUUGGGAUUCAUAUCAAACUCUAUGUUUGAACUUGAGAUACGAGAACUUUUGUAUUAUAAUACAUAAAACCUAGGUAGUGAGUUUGAAUUGUCUGCAUUUAUUCUCCACGGGUAAUAAAAACUCAUUGUUUCUC
rnacentral:lncRNA from 1 species